rnacentral:rRNA from 1 species
GAUGAACGCUGGCGGCGUGCCUAAUACAUGCAAGUCGAGCGAACAGACGAGGAGCUUGCUCCUCUGACGUUAGCGGCGGACGGGUGAGUAACACGUGGCUAACCUACCUAUAAGACUGGGAUAACUUCGGGAAACCGGAGCUAAUACCGGAUAAUAUAUUGAACCGCAUGGUUCAAUAGUGAAAGCCGGUUUUGCUGUCACUUAUAGAUGGAACCGAGCCGCAUUAGCUAGUUGGUACGGUAACGGCUUACCAAGGCAACGAUGCGUAGCCGACCUGAGAGGGUGAUCGGCCACACUGGAACUGAGACACGGUCCAGACUCCUACGGGAGGCAGCAGUAGGGAAUCUUGCGCAAUGGGCGAAAGCCUGACGGAGCAACGCCGCGUGAGUGAUGAAGGUCUUCGGAUCGUAAAACUCUGUUAUUAGGGAAGAACAAAUGUGUAAGUAACUAUGCACGUCUUGACGGUACCUAAUCAGAAAGCCACGGCUAACUACGUG